rnacentral:lncRNA from 1 species
UUCAACAAGCAAGGACUGAACCUACUGCUAUUGCUACACCACAACCUACUGCUACUGCUACACCACAACCUACUGCUGAACAAAGGCAAUCUACCCCACACCAAUCUGGGACUGAACCAAGGGCUGCUACUCGAAGGGUAAGCUAUAAACAAUCAUUAUUAUGUUUCAAUGAUGUGAUUGCAUAUUAUGUUAGGUGUUUCAAUACUUGAUCAUUUCCUAAGACUAAUUACAAUUGUGCAUGUAGGUAAGGAAAAUUCCAAGGAUGGUAGCAAGUGUAGGUGGACCAUCUCAUGUUGCAGGUGAAAUUCCUAUAAGGGCAGCAAGUGAAACUCCUAGAAGGGCUGAAAGUGAAGGUGGACCAUCAAAUAGUGACACUAGUGUCUGGAGAGUAAAGGCCAAAAGGACUCUUAUCCAUUGGGAGUGGAGUGAUUAGAGUGAACCUAUUAGUUAAAAUAUUUAUGCUAGUAUGUAUGUAUUUUUGGGCAAUCAAGUUUGAAGGUGGAUGUAUGAAUGUAUUAAGCAAUACUAUUAAUGCUAUAUUUUGG